GACGAACGCUGGCGGCGUGCUUAACACAUGCAAGUCGAACGGAAAGGCCCUGCUUGUGUGGGGUGCUCGAGUGGCGAACGGGUGAGUAACACGGGAGUAACCUGCCCUUGACUGUGGGAUAACUUCAGGAAACUGGGGCUAAUACCGGAUAGGAGCUCCUGCUGCAUGGUGGGGGUUGGAAAGUUUCGGCGGUUGGGGAUGGACUCGCGGCUUAUCAGCUUGUGGGUGGGGUAGUGGCUUACCAAGGCUUUGACGGGUAGCCGGCCUGAGAGGGUGACCGGCCACAUUGGGACUGAGAUACGGCCCAGACUCCUACGGGAGGCAGCAGUGGGGAAUAUUGCACAAUGGGCGGAAGCCUGAUGCAGCAACGCCGCGUGCGGGAUGACGGCCUUCGGGUUGUAAACCGCUUUCGCCUGUGACGAAGCGUGAGUGACGGUAAUGGGUAAAGAAGCACCGGCUAACUACGUG
rnacentral:rRNA from 1 species